UGAAAGCCAUGAAGGUGCUCAUCCUUGCCUGCCUGGUGGCCUUUGCUUUUGCAAAGGAGAAGGAACAAAUCAGUGUAUCCAGAGAGACUAUAGAAAGCAUUUCUAGCAGUGAGGAGUCUAUUACCCACAUCAACAAG